rnacentral:rRNA from 1 species
AAUAGAUACCCGGGUAGUCCACGCCGUAAACGAUGAGUGCUAGGUGUUGGGGGGGUACCACCCUCAGUGCCGAAGCUAACGCAUUAAGCACUCCGCCUGGGGAGUACGGUCGCAAGACUGAAACUCAAAGGAAUUGACGGGGGCCCGCACAAGCAGUGGAGCAUGUGGUUUAAUUCGAAGCAACGCGAAGAACCUUACCAAGACUUGACAUCCCGUUGACCGGUCGAGAGAUCGACUUUCCCGUUCGGGGCAGCGGUGACAGGUGGUGCAUGGUUGUCGUCAGCUCGUGUCGUGAGAUGUUGGGUUAAGUCCCGCAACGAGCGCAACCCCUAAAUUGUGUUGCCAUCAUUCAGUUGGGCACUCACAAUUGACUGCCGGUGACAAACCGGAGGAAGGCGGGGAUGACGGUCAAAGUCAUCAUGCCCCUUAUGUCUUGGGCUACACACGUGCUACAAUGGGCGGUACAAAGGGUUGCAAUGCCGCGAGGCGGAGCCGAAUCCCGAAAAACGCCGCUCACAGUUCGGAUUGCAGGCUGCUAACCG